UGGGGAAUAUUGCGCAAUGGGGGAAACCCUGACGCAGCAACGCCGCGUGAAGGAUGAAGGUUUUCGGAUUGUAAACUUCUUUGAUGAGGGACGAACACAAUGACGGUACCUCAAAAACAAGCCACGGCUAACUACGUGCCAGCAGCCGCGGUAAUACGUAGGUGGCGAGCGUUAUCCGGAAUUACUGGGUGUAAAGGGCGCGUAGGCGGGGAUGCAAGUCAGGUGUGAAAUCUAUGGGCUUAACCCAUAAACUGCACUUGAAACUGUGUCUCUUGAGUGAUGGAGAGGUAGGUGGAAUUCCUAGUGUAGCGGUGGAAUGCGUAGAUAUUAGGAGGAACACCAGUGGCGAAGGCGACUUACUGGACAUUAACUGACGCUGAGGCGCGAAAGCGUGGGGAGCAAACAGG
rnacentral:rRNA from 1 species